rnacentral:rRNA from 1 species
UUGAACGCUGGCGGCAUGCCUUACACAUGCAAGUCGAACGGUAACAGCUCUUCGGAGGCUGACGAGUGGCGAACGGGUGAGUAAUACAUCGGAACGUGCCCGAUCGUGGGGGAUAACGGAGCGAAAGCUUUGCUAAUACCGCAUACGAUCUACGGAUGAAAGCAGGGGACCCUCGGGCCUUGCGCGAACGGAGCGGCCGAUGGCAGAUUAGGUAGUUGGUGGGAUAAAAGCUUACCAAGCCGACGAUCUGUAGCUGGUCUGAGAGGACGACCAGCCACACUGGGACUGAGACACGGCCCAGACUCCUACGGGAGGCAGCAGUGGGGAAUUUUGGACAAUGGGCGAAAGCCUGAUCCAGCAAUGCCGCGUGCAGGAUGAAGGCCUUCGGGUUGUAAACUGCUUUUGUACGGAACGAAAUCGUCGAGGCUAAUAUCCUUGAUGGAUGACGGUACCGGAAGAAGAAGCACCGGCUAACUACGU